rnacentral:lncRNA from 1 species
GUCUUCAGCCGCGGCGCGGUCCUGAUGAGUGCUGUGUCCAGGAUGAUCAUGAAUUCAAGCUCUGGUGCUUGAGGUGAAUUGGUCCGACUUCCAGAAGAGAAGGUUCCCCCCCGCCCCCAGGAAAAGCCAGUGCAGUUACCUGACAGUGAGUAAACCCGGUGUUUCUCGUGGUUUCGUCAGAUCUACCAUCGCCUGCCAGCCUGACCUGCUUUGACCCCGCAGACUGUCCCUGUCCCCUCUGAACAAAAGGAUGGCUGUUGCACAGCAGCCCUAUGGUUUGGCACAGUUGUUGCAGGAAUCACCUGCCACUCAUGAUCCCAGCACUCACAGAACAGGAGCAGGGCAGGGAUGCCGGAUGGAGCUAACUGGGCUACCGAGGGACACCUGGCGAAGCAGGAAGCAGACUUAGGUAAGGAGCGGAGGGACACAAGGGUACAAGGUGUCGGACCAAAAUUAGGGGAUCUUCUAAAUCAGAAUAAAACAUGUUCUCCACUCAA